AGCAGGGCAGUAGAAUGGAAACAAUAGGUGUUUUGGAACCUUAUUGACCCAGGUUCAAUCCCUGGCUCUGCUA
rnacentral:tRNA from 1 species